rnacentral:rRNA from 1 species
UACGAAGGGGGCUAGCGUUGUUCGGAUUUACUGGGCGUAAAGCGCACGUAGGCGGACUAUUAAGUCAGGGGUGAAAUCCCGGGGCUCAACCCCGGAACUGCCUUUGAUACUGGUAGUCUUGAGUUCGAGAGAGGUGAGUGGAAUUCCGAGUGUAGAGGUGAAAUUCGUAGAUAUUCGGAGGAACACCAGUGGCGAAGGCGGCUCACUGGCUCGAUACUGACGCUGAGGUGCGAAAGCGUGGGGGAGCAAACAGG